AGCCAGCUAAAGAGUCCCAAAUAGGAUGAAACGCAUGUCCUAGAU
rnacentral:hammerhead_ribozyme from 1 species